rnacentral:rRNA from 1 species
CUUUCCCUCUUUCUUCAUGCUUUACACAUGCAAGUCGAACGGCAGCGCGGGCUUCGGCCUGGCGGCGAGUGGCGAACGGGUGAGUAAUACAUCGGAACGUGCCCAGUAGUGGGGGAUAGCUCGGCGAAAGCCGGAUUAAUACCGCAUACGACCUGAGGGUGAAAGCGGGGGAUCUUCGGACCUCGCGCUAUUGGAGCGGCCGAUGGCAGAUUAGCUAGUUGGUGGGGUAAAGGCCUACCAAGGCGACGAUCUGUAGCUGGUCUGAGAGGACGACCAGCCACACUGGGACUGAGACACGGCCCAGACUCCUACGGGAGGCAGCAGUGGGGAAUUUUGGACAAUGGGCGAAAGCCUGAUCCAGCAAUGCCGCGUGUGUGAUGAAGGCCUUCGGGUUGUAAAGCACUUUUGGCGGGAACGAAAAGGACUGUGCCAAUACCACGGUUCGAUGACGGUACCCGCAGAAUAAGCACCGGCUAACUACGUG